GGAAGAGUCAAUUCAUAACAAAGCAAGAGAGAGGAGAAACCUUAGCUACUAAACCCACAUCGAAGUCUUCAAGAAUGUGCAAUGCAAAGCAUAACCCAUUACAGUCUUGGAUUAUUAUCUCUUUCUCUCUCUUUCUCUGUGUCAACUGGUGUCCAUUGUUGUCACUUUUUUGAGUUGUUUCACAAGAUCUUCUUCUUGACAAAUGAAGCUACUCUUCUGAGAUACCCUUUAUGUAUCUCUCUUUUUCUGCACAACAUAGGAGAAGCAUAGGCCUCAUCACUCAGAGUCAGGGAGACAGACACAGGCAGAGGAAGCACAUUGGAUCGGGUUGAACAGUCAUCGCUCAUCGUGAUUCUUGAAAGCGGUUUAUCGAAACUUGUUAAUUAAUUUCAACUUCAAUUCCUAUCUCCAUUUUUGUCCCAUUAUAAGAAGUGGAUUAGCUAGGAUUCAGGACUCUCCUCAUGGAUUUUGAAACUUAGUUCAUGGUAUAGGAUUUGGGGUAUCAUGAUUUUCCUUGUUUUGCACCAUCUGAUUCAAAAUUUCUAUACUUUUCUCUAUCAAGAACAACAUUAAUUCCUAACUUAGCUUGUAUAA